rnacentral:rRNA from 1 species
GACGAAUGCUGGCUGCGUGCUUAACACAUGCAAGUCGAACGGUGAAGGAGGGCUUGCCCUCCGGAUCAGUGGCGAACGGGUGAGUAACACGUGGGCAACCUGCCCCUCACUCUGGGAUAACGCCGGGAAACCGGCGCUAAUACCGGACACGACCCGGCGCGACAUCUCGCCUGGUGGAAAGAAUUUCGGUGAGGGAUGGGCCCGCGGCCUAUCAGCUAGUUGGUGGGGUAACGGCCCACCAAGGCGACGACGGGUAGCCGGCCUGAGAGGGCGACCGGCCACACUGGGACUGAGACACGGCCCAGACUCCGACGGGAGGCAGCAGUGGGGAAUUUUGGACAAUGGGGGCAACCCUGAUCCAGCCAUGCCGCGUGAGUGAAGAAGGCCUUCGGGUUGUAAAGCUCUUUCGGCCGGGAAGAAAUCGCACAGGCUAAUACUCUGUGUGGAUGACGGUACCGGCAUAAGAAGCACCGGCUAACUACGUGCCAGCAGCCGCAGUAACAC